ACCCCUGGGUUGGCUCAGUUGGCAGAGCACGAAACUCUUAAUCUCAUGGUCUUGGGUUCAAGCCCCACAUUGGGCA